rnacentral:sRNA from 1 species
AGGCUCUGUAGCCCGAUUUCACUGCCAAGACGGAUUCAAGCUGAAGGGCGCUACAAAGAGACUGUGUUUGAAGCAUUUUAAUGGAACCCUAGGCUGGAUCCCAAGUGAUAAUUCCAUCUGUGUGCAAGAAGAUUGCCGUAUCCCUCAAAUCGAAGAUGCUGAGAUUCAUAACAAGACAUAUAGACAUGGAGAGAAGCUAAUCAUCACUUGUCAUGAAGGAUUCAAGAUCCGGUACCCCGACCUACACAAUAUGGUUUCAUUAUGUCGCGAUGAUGGAACGUGGAAUAAUCUGCCCAUCUGUCAAGGCUGCCUGAGACCUCUAGCCUCUUCUAAUGGCUAUGUAAACAUCUCUGAGUUCCAGACCUCCUUCCCGGUGGGGACUGUGAUCUCCUAUCGCUGCUUUCCCGGAUUUAAACUUGAUGGGUCUGCGUAUCUUGAGUGCUUACAAAACCUUAUCUGGUCGUCCAGCCCACCCCGGUGCCUUGCUCUGGAAGGUAACACAUCUCAUUCUUUCGGAAGUUGUAUUUUGUAUUAUUAAAGGGAGGAAGAAGAUCAAUAGGAGGAAGAGCUGUGAAUUAUGAUGGGCAAUAACUUUUCUUCUCUGAAUACAUCUUUCUCACUUUUCUCCAGAGCAGAGAUCAGCUGCCGUGAAGCCAUAUUUACAAUUAGAUGUAAAACUUGCUUCCCUCAUCCUUAGGCUUAAAGAGGAGAGCAGAU